UUGCGUCGUCUGUGAAAUUCCGGGGNUUAACUUCGGGGUGGCAGGCGAUACGGGCAUAACUAGAGUGCUGUAGGGGAGACUGGAAUUCCUGGUGUAGCGGUGGAAUGCGCAGAUAUCAGGAGGAACACCGAUGGCGAAGGCAGGUCUCUGGGCAGUAACUGACGCUGAGGAGCGAAAGCAUGGGGAGCGAACAGGAUUAGAUACCCUGGUAGUCCAUGCUGUAAACGGUGGGCGUUAGGUGUGGGGACCGGUUUGGUUUCUGUGCCGUAGCUAACGCAUUAUGCGCCCCGCCUGGGGAGUACGGCCGCAAGGCUAAAACUCAAAGGAAUUGACGGGGGCCCGCACAAGCGGCGGAGCAUGUGGAUUAAUUCGAUGCAACGCGAAGAACCUUACCUGGGUUUGACAUGCACCAGACGGUUGUAGAGAUACGUACCUCCCUUUGUGGUUGGUGUGCAGGUGGUGCAUGGUUGUCGUCAGCUCGUGUCGUGAGAUGUUGGGUUAAGUCCCGCAACGAGCGCAACCCUUGUCUUAUGUUGCCAGCACGUUUUGGGUGGGGACUCAUGAGAGACUGCCGGGGUUAACUCGGAGGAAGGUGGGGAUGACGUCAAAUCAUCAUGCCCUUUAUGCCCAGGGCUUCACACAUGCUACAAUGGUUAGUACAACGCGCUGCGAGCCUGUGAGGGUGAGCGAAUCGCUGAAAGCUAAUCUCAGUUCGGAUUGGGGUCUGCAACUCGACCCCAUGAAGUCGGAGUCGCUAGUAAUCGCAGAUCAGCAAUGCUGCGGUGAAUACGUUCCCGGGCCUUGUACACACCGCCCGUCACGUCAUGAAAGUUGGUAACACCCGAAGCCCAUGGCCUA
rnacentral:rRNA from 1 species